AUUGAACGCUGGCGGCAUGCCUUACACAUGCAAGUCGAACGGCAGCACGGGUGCUUGCACCUGGUGGCGAGUGGCGAACGGGUGAGUAAUACAUCGGAACGUACCUUAUCGUGGGGGAUAACGCAGCGAAAGUUGCGCUAAUACCGCAUACGCCCUGAGGGGGAAAGCGGGGGACUGUAAGGCCUCGCGCGAUUAGAGCGGCCGAUGUCAGAUUAGCUUGUUGGUGAGGUAAAAGCUCACCAAGGCGAUGAUCAGUAGCUGGUCUGAGAGGACGAUCAGCCACACUGGGACUGGGACACGGCCCAGACUCCUACGGGAGGCAGCAGUGGGGAAUUUUGGACAAUGGGGGCAACCCUGAUCCAGCAAUGCCGCGUGAGUGAAGAAGGCCUUCGGGUUGUAAAGCUCUUUUGUCAGGGAAGAAACAGCAGCUCUAACACAGUCUGCGAAUGACGGUACCUGAAGAAUAAGCACCGGCUAACUACGUGCCAGCAGCCGCGGUAA
rnacentral:rRNA from 1 species